GGCUACCGCUAUUGGAAUCUGAUUAAGCCAUGCGAGUUGAAAGGGUUUAGACCCUUAGCGGACGGCUCAGUAACACGUGGAGAACCUACCCUCAGGUGGGGGAUAAUCCCGGGAAACUGGGAAUAAUACCCCAUAGGUCUCGAUUGCUGGAAUGCUUCGAGGCUGAAAGUUCCGACGUCUGAGGAUGGCUCUGCGGCCUAUCAGGUAGUAGUGAGGGUAACGUCCUCACUAGCCGAUGACGGGUACGGGCGUUGAGAGACGGAGCCCGGAGAUGGACUCUGAGACACGAGUCCAGGCCCUACGGGGCGCAGCAGGCGCGAAACCUCCGCAAUGCUCGAAAGAGUGACGGGGGGAUUCCAAGUGCCUACGCUUCGCGUAGGCUGUUCAGAUGCCUAAAAAGCAUUUGGAGGAAGGACUGGGUAAGACGGGUGCCAGCCGCCGCGGUAAUACCCGCAGUCCGAGUGGUGGUCGAUUUUAUUGGGCCUAAAGCGUCCGUAGCCGGUCUGGUAAAUGCCUGGGUAAAUCGUCUGGCUCAACCAAACGAAUUCCGGGUAGACUACCAGACUUGGGACCGGUUGAGGGAGAGGGUACUUCAGGGGUAGGAGUGAAAUCUUGUAAUCCCUGAAGGACCACCAGUGGCGAAGGCGCUCUCCUAGAACGGGUCCGACGGUGAGGGACGAAAGCCAGGGGAGCAAACCGGAUUAGAUACCCGGGUAGUCCUGGCCGUAAACGAUGCGGGCUUUGCAUUGGGGAUCCUACGAGGGUGCCCAGUGCCGAAGCGAAGGCGUUAAGCCCGCCGCCUGGGAAGUAUGGUCGCAAGGCUGAAACUUAAAGGAAUUGGCGGGGGAGCACUGCAAUGGGAGGAGCGUGCGGUUU
rnacentral:rRNA from 1 species